CAAGUGUGGUCCAAAAAUUGUUAAAAGGUUGGGGUGGGCCUUAGGCCCGAACCCUUAUGUGUCCGGUCACUAGCGAAAUCGCAGGCAGCUGUACAGCUGCCCCACACCCACGUUUCCCUAAGUGGCCCUUGGCCUUCCCCAAAGCGUAACUUGUAAUAUGACAAGUUCGAGGCGUCGCUUAUGGACUUUGUACCAUCCAAAUGCCAACGGUAGCAUUGGAUAACACAAUGGUUUUAAAGAUAACCCCUUUCCCAUUAAAGCUAAUUAAAUGCUAUCUUAAUUAAAACGUAAAGAAACAAACAAAUUUUAAAACGCUUUUUUUAAGGCCAAAGCAAAGCAAACACACACACCUUUCUUCUUCUCCAUCUAAACUCUCAGCUCACCAAAUUUAUUAAAACAGGACGAAUUUAGCAGUGUUUAAUAAGAGGAUUUGAGGAACAUUCGAUGGUAUGCGUCUACUGAAACCAAAAGGAAACUACAAAUCGAUAUUCAAUCUGCACUAAGGAGUUCGAGUGGAAGCGUGUAGUCUAGAUCUCGCAUCAAACUUGGAGCAACAGGCCUCAAACGCUCACAUAACUAACGUGUCAUGUGUUAAGUUCAAUCACUAUCUAACUACAACAAAUCAUACAACCUGUACGAGAUUUUUCUCACUGAGUAGAAAUGGAGAAAGAAAAUAAACCCUUGGAGUGAAGACGAAGAUGCUUCGCGAGAACCUCAGGAAUUCGGCAACGACUUUGGCAACGGUAGCGACUUCGGGGUAACGACGCAAUCCCCUUUUCAUACGACUCAAGCCACUUAUUUAUAGGGUCUCCUUUUGAUAUCUCCAAAUCAUGAGCUGGAAAAUCUAAGAGGAAUCAUUCCGUUAGGGAGAAAAAUCCUUUUGGAUUUGGUGGGGACCGAUUUCCAUACAGGUUGUGAUUGGCAUUCCAUUUACAAGGAUGAUACAAAGGAUUUUUGGUAUUUUGGUUGCUUUGAGGGCUUUCUCAAGAAGAAGAGUGAGUUGUAUGUCGAAUUGACAUCAACUGCGGUUGCUUGAAAUGAGCAGGGGCCUAUAAGGAAGCGUCCAUGGCAAGGUGUUUUGGUAAGAUGUUUGUGAUUCUAUUGUGGAAAGAUUCUGCAACAGGUUUUCUGCUUUAUGGAAUUGAACCAUGUAUCAUUCAAUUCAUACUUCAUUUAAUGUAACUUUUGAUGGUGGUUGGCAUUCUGGCUUGUAAUUCCAUCUUGGCAGGUUCAUUCAUCAUGGAAUUGUCCAAUAUUAUUGGUGAUGGCUAUGUGCACGACAACAAUGUCUCUACUUGACAAUGGUUUGUCUUGCUACUAGUGAACUGGCUUCCUUCAAGAAGAGUAAGAUGAAUCAACUAUUGCCCUUCUAGUUUUAAAUGGAAAAGUGUUCAACAUAAGAGUUGUUCCUCUUGAUCUAUGCUUUCCAAAGAGUCAUAAUUCAAUCAUUUUGGACAAAGUUUAAUGGGUUUGCGCAUGGCUUAAACAGGUCUGUAUCAGUUGGUAAGAUUCAUGAUUCAAAUGUUCAAACAACUUUGCCUUGCCAUCCAAGCUUCAUGCAGACCUCAUUUCAGUUGAUUGUGGACCUAAUUGGAAUGCCUCAUGGGCCUACACACGCCCAUGCAAGCAUGUGCAUUGCAUUGCCAUUUUUGGAUAAUUUUUCAAGUGUGUAAAUAACACUUCUCAUUGCUAUAAAUAGAGGUCCAAUGCCUCAGUUCAAAGGACCUUAUGCGCCAACUUUGCCCCCAACCUUCCAAACCCUCUCAAUUCAAAAGAAAACCUGAGAAAUUUCAAUUGAAAUUUGAGUUUGAAUCUCACAGUUUGGAGAUUCAAAAACUCCAGGAUCCAAAGCUUUGCAUUACUCUUAAGCCACUUCCACAAGCUCCAUAAGCAAGAUCAAGCACGAAUUGAAGUAAGAGAGAACCAGUUCUGCACAACAUUGAAGGUAUUUUUCCAGAUUUUUCUUCUCUUCGAUUCUCUCUCAAUUCUCAUCAAUUCUCUUGGAUCCUUGGUUGUCUGAAGUCCUACCAAUGUAGGCAAGAAGAUUGAGUUGCUUUGAGGUCAAAUCGAAGCAACUCAGUUGACACACCUUAAAAUUCAACUCCACGUAUCUCUAUAUAUUUGGAGUUAGUUAAAAUUGAGGUGAUAUUCGUGAUCUACGCCAUUUUUUCUUUAAGAUCAUGUCCUCUUUUUUCAUUUAUGAUAUGGUGAUGAUUGAACCAUUCCGGCCAGGGUCAUCGGAGAAGAUGACCGACCUUUGGCUCCGGCGAUGCGUUGGAAGUGUUCAGAGCCAUUAGAUGAGUUUAAAAUGUUUUAAUCAGGAGCGUACAUUAUGAUUACCCAGCGUGUGAUCAGUUGACUCAAGCGCAUCAUGGAACACGCGCUCUCCACCACUUGAUAUGCCAUCUCAAUUAAUGAGGGAGAUCAAGCAGUCCAUGUUUUUUUGAUUAUCUGAUUUUUAUUUUUAUUCCUUUGAUUUUCAUUAAUUCAUAUUAAU